rnacentral:rRNA from 1 species
AACGUAGGAGACAAACGUUAUCCGGAGUUACUGGGCGUAAAGGGCGUGUAGGCGGUUUGUUAAGUCUGGCGUGAAAGCUCUCGGCUAAACCGGGAGAGGUCGUUGGAUACUGGCAAACUAGAGGAUGGUAGAGGCGUGUGGAAUUCCGGGUGUAGUGGUGAAAUGCGUAGAGAUCCGGAGGAACACCAGUGGCGAAGGCGACACGCUGGGCCAUACCUGACGCUAAGGAACGAAAGCUAGGGGAGCAAACAGG